rnacentral:rRNA from 1 species
CCUGGCUCAGGAUGAACGCUAGCGGCAGGCUUAACACAUGCAAGUCGAACGGUAAAAUUCCCGCUUGCGGGAGAGAUGACGACCGGCGCACGGGUGAGUAACGCGUAUGCAACCUACCUCAAACAGGGGGAUAGCUCAGGGAAACCUGGAUUAAUACCCCAUAAUAUUUAGAUUUGGCAUCAGCUUUAAAUUAAAACUCCGGUGGUUGAAGAUGGGCAUGCGUGACAUUAGCUAGAUGGUAUGGUAACGGCUUACCAUGGCAACGAUGUCUAGGGGUUCUGAGAGGAUGAUCCCCCACACUGGUACUGAGACACGGACCAGACUCCUACGGGAGGCAGCAGUGAGGAAUAUUGGUCAAUGGGCGCAAGCCUGAACCAGCCAUCCCGCGUGUAGGAAGACUGCCCUAUGGGUUGUAAACUACUUUUAUAAAGGAAGAAACCCUCUUACGUGUAAGAGGCUGACUGUACUUUACGAAUAAGCACCGGCUAACUCCGUGCCAGCAGCCGCGGUAAUACGGAGGGUGCAAGCGUUGUUCGGAUUUAUUGGGUUUAAAGGGUGCGUAGGCGGAAUAAUAAGUCAGUGGUGAAAUCUUACAGCUUAACUGUAGAACUGCCAUUGAUACUGAAGGCCUUGAGUAUAGUUGGCGUUGGCGGAAUAUAUCAUGUAGCGGUGAAAUGCUUAGAUAUGAUAUAGAACACCGAUUGCGUAGGCAGCUCACUAUGUUUAUAUUGACGCUGAUGGACGAAAGCGUGGGUAGCGAACAGGAUUAGAUACCCUGGUAGUCCACGCCGUAAACGAUGUAUACUCGAUGUCGGGGUUUUUACUUCGGUGGCUAAGCGAAAGUUAUAAGUGAUCCACCUGGGGAGUACGUUCGCAAGGAUGAAACUCAAAGGAAUUGACGGGGGCCCGCACAAGCGGUGGAGCAUGUGGUUUAAUUCGAUGAUACGCGAGGAACCUUACCUGGGCUUAAAUGUAGAUUGACAGGACUAGAGAUAGUUUUUUCUUCGGACACUUUACAAGGUGCUGCAUGGUUGUCGUCAGCUCGUGCCGUGAGGUGUUAGGUUAAGUCCUGCAACGAGCGCAACCCCUAUCAUUAGUUGCCAGCGUUUAAAGACGGGGACUCUAAUGAGACUGCCCGCGCAAGCGGUGAGGAAGGUGGGGACGACGUCAAAUCAUCACGGCCCUUACGUCUUGGGCUACACACGUGCUACAAUGGUAGGUACAGAGGGCAGCUACCUGGCGACAGGAUGCGAAUCUCAAAAACCUAUCUCAGUUCGGAUUGGAGUCUGCAACUCGACUCUAUGAAGCUGGAAUCGCUAGUAAUCGCAUAUCAGCCAUGAUGCGGUGAAUACGUUCCCGGGCCUUGUACACACCGCCCGUCAAGCCAUGGAAGCUGGGAGUACCUGAAGUUGGUGACCGUAAAAGGAGCUACCUAGGGUAAAACUGGUAACUAGGGCUAAGUCGUAACA